rnacentral:rRNA from 1 species
GUGGGGAAUAUUGGACAAUGGGCGAAAGCCUGAUCCAGCCAUGCCGCGUGUGUGAAGAAGGUCUUCGGAUUGUAAAGCACUUUAAGUUGGGAGGAAGGGCAGUAAGUUAAUACCUUGCUGUUUUGACGUUACCGACAGAAUAAGCACCGGCUAACUUCGUGCCAGCAGCCGCGGUAAUACGAAGGGUGCAAGCGUUAAUCGGAAUUACUGGGCGUAAAGCGCGCGUAGGUGGUUUUGUAAGGUGGAGGUGAAAUCCCCGGGCUCAACCUGGGAACUGCCUCCAAAACUGCAUGACUAGAGUACGGUAGAGGGUAGUGGAAUUUCCUGUGUAGCGGUGAAAUGCGUAGAUAUAGGAAGGAACACCAGUGGCGAAGGCGACUACCUGGACUGAUACUGACACUGAGGUGCGAAAGCGUGGGGAGCAAACAGGAUUAGAAACCCCAGUAGUCC